rnacentral:rRNA from 1 species
UACGGGGGGAGCAAGCGUUGUUCGGAUUUACUGGGCGUAAAGGGUGCGUAGGCGGCGAGGCAAGUCUGGUGUGAAAUCCCGGGGCUCAACCCCGGAACUGCACUGGAUACUGCUUUGCUAGAGUACUGGAGAGGGAACUGGAAUUUACGGUGUAGCAGUGAAAUGCGUAGAUAUCGUAAGGAAGACCAGCGGCGAAGGCGAGUUCCUGGACAGUUACUGACGCUGAGGCACGAAGGCCAGGGGAGCAAACGGG